CACAUGCAAGUCGAGGGGCAGCAUGGUCCUUACAAGCUAAGGCCGAUGGCGACCGGCGCACGGGUGAGUAACACGUAUCCAACCUGCCGUCUACUCUUGGACAGCCUUCUGAAAGGAAGAUUAAUACAAGAUGGCAUCAUGAGUCCGCAUGUUCACAUGAUUAAAGGUAUUCCGGUAGACGAUGGGGAUGCGUUCCAUUAGAUAGUAGGCGGGGUAACGGCCCACCUAGUCUUCGAUGGAUAGGGGUUCUGAGAGGAAGGUCCCCCACAUUGGAACUGAGACACGGUCCAAACUCCUACGGGAGGCAGCAGUGAGGAAUAUUGGUCAAUGGGCGAGAGCUUGAACCAGCCAAGUAGCGUGAAGGAUGACUGCCCUAUGGGUUGUAAACUUCUUUUAUAAAGGAAUAAAGUCGGGUAUGGAUACCCGUUUGCAUGUACUUUAUGAAUAAGGAUCGGCUAACUCCGUGCCAGCAGCCGCGGUAAUACGGAGGAUCCGAGCGUUAUCCGGAUUUAUUGGGUUUAAAGGGAGCGUAGAUGGAUGUUUAAGUCAGUUGUGAAAGUUUGCGGCUCAACCGUAAAAUUGCAGUUGAUACUGGAUAUCUUGAGUGCAGUUGAGGCAGGCGGAAUUCGUGGUGUAGCGGUGAAAUGCUUAGAUAUCACGAAGAACUCCGAUUGCGAAGGCAGCCUGCUAAGCUGCAACUGACAUUGAGGCUCGAAAGUGUGGGUAUCAAACAGGAUUAGAUACCCUGGUAGUCCACACGGUAAACGAUGAAUACUCGCUGUUUGCGAUAUACUGCAAGCGGCCAAGCGAAAGCGUUAAGUAUUCCACCUGGGGAGUACGCCGGCAACGGUGAAACUCAAAGGAAUUGACGGGGGCCCGCACAAGCGGAGGAACAUGUGGUUUAAUUCGAUGAUACGCGAGGAACCUUACCCGGGCUUAAAUUGCAGAUGAAUUACGGUGAAAGCCGUAAGCCGCAAGGCAUCUGUGAAGGUGCUGCAUGGUUGUCGUCAGCUCGUGCCGUGAGGUGUCGGCUUAAGUGCCAUAACGAGCGCAACCCUUGUUGUCAGUUACUAACAGGUUCCGCUGAGGACUCUGACAAGACUGCCAUCGUAAGAUGUGAGGAAGGUGGGGAUGACGUCAAAUCAGCACGGCCCUUACGUCCGGGGCUACACACGUGUUACAAUGGGGGGUACAGAGGGCCGCUACCACGCGAGUGGAUGCCAAUCCCCAAAACCUCUCUCAGUUCGGACUGGAGUCUGCAACCCGACUCCACGAAGCUGGAUUCGCUAGUAAUCGCGCAUCAGCCACGGCGCGGUGAAUACGUUCCCGGGCCUUGUACACACCGCCCGUCAAGCCAUGGGAGCCGGGGGUACCUGAAGUGCGUAACCGCGAGGAGCGCCCUAGGGUAAAACUGGUGACUGGGGCUAAGUC
rnacentral:rRNA from 1 species